rnacentral:rRNA from 1 species
UGGCUCAGAGCGAACGCUGGCGGCAGGCUUAACACAUGCAAGUCGAGCGGGCGUAGCAAUACGUCAGCGGCAGACGGGUGAGUAACGCGUGGGAACGUACCUUUUGGUUCGGAACAACACAGGGAAACUUGUGCUAAUACCGGAUAAGCCCUUACGGGGAAAGAUUUAUCGCCGAAAGAUCGGCCCGCGUCUGAUUAGCUAGUUGGUGAGGUAAUGGCUCACCAAGGCGACGAUCAGUAGCUGGUCUGAGAGGAUGAUCAGCCACAUUGGGACUGAGACACGGCCCAAACUCCUACGGGAGGCAGCAGUGGGGAAUAUUGGACAAUGGGGGCAACCCUGAUCCAGCCAUGCCGCGUGAGUGAUGAAGGCCCUAGGGUUGUAAAG